AGCUCCCUGAACUGCUCGCCAGUCAGAUACGUCCUCGAGCCGAUGAAUUUUAUUAUUGGUUACCUCCUGCGAGUGAUGUGUGCAAGUCCCUCUUGAAGGGAAAGCCUAAUUCAUUCCAGCGGUUACCUCCUUGAACCAAAGGGUUCAAGGGCCACGUCAGACAGCGGCUGUCUCGGGGAGUUU
rnacentral:other from 3 species